rnacentral:rRNA from 1 species
ACCCAGACUCCUACGGGAGGCAGCAGUGGGGAAUAUUGCACAAUGGGGGGAACCCUGAUGCAGCGACGCCGCGUGGGUGAAGAAGUCCUUCGUGACGUAAAGCCCUAUCAGCAGGGAAGAAAAUGACGGUACCUGACUAAGAAGCCCCGGCUAACUACGUGCCAGCAGCCGCGGUAAUACGUAUGGUGCAAGCGUUAUCCGGAUUUACUGGGUGUAAAGGGAGCGCAGGCGGCACGGCAAGCCUGAUGUGAAAGCCCGCGGCCCAACCGCGUGACUGCAUUGGGAACUGCCGGGCUGGAGUGCCGGAGAGGUAGGCGGAAUUCCUAGUGUAGUGGUGAAAUGCGUAGAUAUUAGGAGGAACACCAGGGGCGAAGGCGGCCUACUGGGCGGUGACUGACGCUGAGGCUCGAAAGCGUGGGGAGCAAACAGGAUUAGAUACCCGAGUAC